AAUAGUUGAAUAUAUUAAUAAGAUUUUAUAUUUUUCUGUUUUUAUUAUUCAAAUUAUUAAGUAUUAAUCUUCAAAAUAUUUAAGUUGACAAAGGGCUUAAAUUAAAACUUUUGAAAUAGUUCACUUGGCAGACUUUUAAGUUAUAAGUCUAUGGUUGGUGUAGUGGAGCAAAUUUCCCAGUAGCCACGUGUCAGUUCGGACAUGAUGACCUGUCAGCUCGGCCAACCAAUCUACGGAUGCCACGUGUCAGCUCGGAUGAUGUGACAUGGCAGCUCGGCCAGAGCAGUUCGGAGUAGGGGGAGGUCAGCUCGGCCGUAGCCGCCGCCUCUCCAUGAAGUGGGCCUCAUGGGCCGCCGCCUCCGGACCUUUAGGGGUUGUCAUAUGAAACCCUAGAAGGACUCCGAACCCUAAGGGGACUCUGACUCCUAUAUGAAAACUACUACCCGUUAAGCCUAUAAAUAUGGCACUACGCAACAACUCAAGGUACGCCAUCUACAGUACCCUCCAUACUAUUGCCUUAUUCUUAAGCUCUACUGACUUGAUCGUUGGAGCUAUUCCGGGGACUCUAGUCCCGCUGUUGUUCUUUCUCCGCAGGAUAGUCUGUUCGGUUUUCCCCUCUCAGCUCGGCUGCACUCAGCCAGCUCUGUUUGUAGCAGCUCAGCUCGGGUUGCAUCCUUGGCAGCUCGCCAGCCCAGCUCGCCAGCUCGCUCCCUCUCAGCUCGCUCAGCCCGUCGCAGCCCAGCUUAGAUCUUGUUUUUGGCAGCCGCAUCAGUUGGCAACAGGAAAGGACUGACUCAAAGAAUAAGCAAAAUUUCAAGGAAGCAACCAAAAUCAACAGCCAAUACAAAAUGGCCCAAUCCCCUGAACAGACCAUUUCUUAUACACACCAGUAGGGAUGUAAUCGAGCCGAGUCGAGCUCGAGUAUCACUAUACUCGAGCUCGACUCGACUCAUAAACACAGAGGCUCGAGCUCGACUCGAGCUCGAUCGAGCCAAGAAAAUCGAUACUCGAAGAUCGAC
rnacentral:lncRNA from 1 species